rnacentral:sRNA from 1 species
GAUCGGUCGCUUGCAGCCUGCAUCUAU